AAGUAAGUAAGUAAGUAAGUAAUAUUUAUUGCAUAAUAACAUGUUAACAUAUUAAAGUGGCAGGAGAUAUACAAUUCGCAGGAUUGCGGUUUACAACAUAGAUCUCAUAAUACAGUCAUUGAAACAAAUUAUACAUUCACAAGAAAAUAAUCCAUUGGUAAUUGAUAUAUUUUUCAUAACAUGAAUGGAAUGUACAAGGUGGAGAACUGAUGUGCUGGAUGGCUGGAAAAGAGUCUCAAUUAAUAGCGGUCCGACAAUUAUUUCUGAAUAUUUUAAAUGUAGAAAGUAAUUAGCCCGUUUAACCUGUUUGAUAAACAGCUGAUUGUAAGAAGCAGUUAGCAGACUGAUGUGCGUAAUAAAUGAAUGCUUAGUUGGGAAGAAUACACUGAAUUUAAAAGUCUACAAGCUAAAAACUGGACAAAACAACCUUUCACAUCGAACAGAAUCAGAGAAGAGGCUGAACACAUGGACCUGACAUAUCUGAGAACUCUCUGAGAAACAGUAAGAUUGAGCAUUGUGCAAGAACCCAGACCUCAGGCUUAGGGAACUGUAACUGUUCGCCUUGAAAGUCUAGGAUGUACUACUUGAAUUGUUUUUACUCUGUGGAUCAGAUAAUAUCUUAAACUAAAGGAACAUUCACACAACACUAUGACAGUCAGGAAUAUUUUUUAUUAUUAUUAGUAUGCAGUGGUUGCAAUUGAUUUUUUCAUCCUUCUAAUCUAAGUAGACAAUAAUAUAAUAUGACUAUCUUAAAUGUUAGUUCAAAGUCUUCUAAAAACAAUAGUCAUUAUUCAUCGCCUCAAUAUGAGAUUUGAAUGCCUUUUCAUUUCUCCACAGGACCGGGAGGAGGGAAGUUAGACUAUUAGUUAAAUUAAAUCAUUACUAACGAUGCUUGAAUAAAAUCUAAGAAAUUA